rnacentral:rRNA from 1 species
AUUGAACGCUGGCGGCAGGCCUAACACAUGCAAGUCGGGCGGUAGCACAGAGAGCUUGCUCUCGGGUGACGAGCGGCGGACGGGUGAGUAAUGUCUGGGAAACUGCCUGAUGGAGGGGGAUAACUACUGGAAACGGUAGCUAAUACCGCAUAACGUCGCAAGACCAAAGAGGGGGACCUUCGGGCCUCUUGCCAUCAGAUGUGCCCAGAUGGGAUUAGCUAGUAGGUGGGGUAACGGCUCACCUAGGCGACGAUCCCUAGCUGGUCUGAGAGGAUGACCAGCCACACUGGAACUGAGACACGGUCCAGACUCCUACGGGAGGCAGCAGUGGGGAAUAUUGCACAAUGGGCGCAAGCCUGAUGCAGCCAUGCCGCGCGUAUGAAGAAGGCCUUCGGGUUGUAAAGUACUUUCAGCGGGGAGGAAGGCGAUAAGGUUAAUAACCUUGUCGAUUGACGUUACCCGCAGAAGAAGCACCGGCUAACUCCGUACCAGCCGCCGCCGUAA